rnacentral:tRNA from 1 species
GCGGGUGUGGUGAAAUUGGCAGACACGUUAGAUUUAGGUUCUAAUGCCUUAUGGUAUGCAGGUUCAAGUCCUGUCACCCGCACCA